AUAUCGCUCUGUACGGGAAGGAUGAGAAGCUUCGACUAAGGUUCGAUUCGAGCGAACGCGCGAAACCGUUGCCGCCGGCACCCACC
rnacentral:sRNA from 1 species